GCCUGCUGAUGACUUAAGACGUAAGACACAAGAGCUGCGCAUGUACAGGGUCCUCACACCAGCACCUCUCCUUCAAGAGACGUUAGAAUGAGGGACACGGUGGAGUGAAGUUGCACCCCGGAUGAGUGGGCCAGUGUUUGGAGUCUGGGCUCCAUCCUGUGACCUAGGGCAAAGCGUAGCUUCUCUCUCUCUGUUUUGUCAACGGCAAACUCGGCAGCGUGGACACGUGGACUUCGGCUGCUACAGCUCAGCUCUGGAAGGUGCCCCCGGGAAUGCCUGCGUGAAAGGCUUGAUCCUACUGGACUGGGGUAUAACCUUUAAGAAGUGGGGACUAGCCGGGUGGCGGUGGUGGCGCACGUCUAUAAUUCCAGCACUCGGGAGGCAGAGCCAGGCGGAUCUCUGUGAGUUCAAGGCCAGCCCGGUCUACAGAGCGAGAUCCAGGACAGGCACCAAAACUACACAGAGAAACCCUGAAGCGGGGCCAAGUGAGAGAUGUGUGCUUGCUGUCUAGCUCCGUGUCUGGCACAUGGGAGGAGCUCAGAAAUAUUUGUUAAGUGAAUACAUGGAAAAGGCUGGAAUGCCGAAAGCAGCUCUUGCCAGAGAGUUUCAAAGCCCUUUUAUAUGAACAAAUGCUCCAUGCUGUGCCUGAACCCUGUGGAAUCCUGUUACAGCAAGUCAUCCAAGCCACCUCUAGGGGAAAAGAAAAUUCAAACAGGUGGUGUGGUCAGGGAUGCAGGUCCUGCAGGGGACUCUGAUGGCAGAGUCCAGCUUGUUAAGUCAGUGUUGGUCACGUGAGCGGAAAUUCGAAAGCACAGAGGCUCAGGGAUGAGACCGACGCAGGGUGGGGUGCUGGGUAGGGCUGGGAGCUAGCUCACUUUGGUGUUACGCAUUUCAUCUUUAUUAAUGAUCUCUAUGAUACGAUCAUCUUAUGGAGAUUGGCCAGGAUGAUCAGAUGACAAGGAGUUACAACCCCUGGGAGAGGGAAACCGAUGAAAGACUUUGUCAGUGGAAAAUGCCCCUGGACUUAAAAGACAGGAUCUGACAGAUGAGAGCUGGCGAUGUGGAGCAGUGUGAUUCAAAGCGCACACACAUCUCUGUGGAGGCAGAAAACAGGAAGGGCAAGACCUGAGCAUCCCUGGCCAAGACAGGGGGACCGGGCACGGGAAGCGCCAAGCUGCUGGGGAUUUUGACAGCAGAAGAAAAUCUGUGCUGGUGAUUCAGUCCACAGCCUGCACCUGUUUGUCUGGCCACCCUGAGGUCACUAACUGAGGUCAUUCACUGGUGAGAACCAAGGACACAGAGAAUUAAUUUGAGUAGUGUAGGCCAUCCUAAUGAAGACUGGAAACACAGGUUAGAUGGUUAUACUUCCCAGAAUAAAACUAAAAUAGCUGUUUCUCUUUCUGUUUGUUUGUGGAGACAGAGUCUUGUGUAGCCCAGGCUGGCUUGGAACUCCCAGUGAUCCUCCUGUCUCAAGCUCCCAAAUGCUAGGAUGACUGAAGAGAGCCAUGCCACCUGGUUGUUCCACAUUUUUAGCAUUGUCUUUGACCUAGAUGACUUCAAAGACUUCAGACUGUAGGAAGAAUCUCUGAGCUGAAAAGAUACCCCCUUAGCCAGCCGGUGGUGGCACACAGCUUUUACCCCAGCAAUGGGGAGGCAGAGGAAGGCGGAUCUCUAUGAGUUGGAGGCCAGCCUAAUCUGCAUAGUGAGUUCUAGAACAG